UACGUAGGGAGCGAGCGUUGUCCGGAAUGACUGGGCGUAAAGGGCGUGUAGACGGCCGAAUAAGUCUGGAGUGAAAGUCCUGCUUUUAAGGUGGGAAUUGCUUUGGAGACUGUUUGGCUUGAGUGCGGAAGAGGUAAGUGGAAUUCCCAGUGUAGCGGUGAAAUGCGUAGAGAUUGGGAGGAACACCAGUGGCGAAGGCGACUUACUGGGCCGUAACUGACGUUGAGGCGCGAAAGCGUGGGGAGCGAACAGGAUUAGAUACCCUGGUAGUCCCUGAG
rnacentral:rRNA from 1 species